AUGGCUUCAGAGUCUACCAAUGGGAAACAAGUUAGGAGUCACGUGACAAAGGGGCGUCUUCUGUCAGCGCGUGUGAUGGCGAAGACUCCUUCAUCUUUGAAGCCAACGAAGCAUGGAAAGACUUCCACAGUUCUCUCCUCCAGUUCUAUGAGAAUGGGGAGCUCUGUGAUGUCACACUGAAGGUUGGCUCAAAGGUGAUCUCUUGUCACAAACUGGUGCUAGCUUGUGUGAUUCCCUACUUCAGAGCCAUGUUUCUUUCUGAAAUGGUUGAAGCCAAGCAGGUGCUGAUUGCGAUUUGAGACUUUGAUGGUGAUGCUGUGGAAGACUUGGUGAAAUUCGUCUACUCUUCACGGCUCAUGUUGACAGUAGACAAUGUCCAGCCUCUCCUGUAUGCAGCAUAUAUCCUGCAGGUUGAACUGGUGGCCGGGGCUUGCUGUGAAUACAUGAAGUUACAUUUUCAUCCCUCCAGUUGCCUGGCAGUAGGAGCCUUUGCGGAGAGUCACAACCGAAUAGACCUGAUGGACAUGGCGGACCAGUAUGCCUGCGAGCACUUUACUGAAGCGGUGGAGUGUGAAGACUUCGUAAGUGUGUCACCCCCAGCACCUCCACAAGCUUCUGUCCUCCAGUGAUCUCAACAUCGACAGUGAAAAGCUGGUCUACAGUACUGCUAUCAACUGGCUUCUUGCCAAUCCCCAGCAUCAUUCUAAAUGGCUGGAUGAGACACGUGCACAAGUCGUCUGCCAUUAUUGCCGGUUGAUUUUCUUAUGGGUAUUGUGGCAAAAGAACAGAUUGUCAAGCAAAACCUAAAAAUGUAGAGAUCUACUGGAUGAAGUAAGCAACUAUCACCUUCAUUUGAGCAGCAAACUGGUCCCUGACUUUGAGUACACGGUCCGCACUACCCCAAGGAAGCAUAUGGCUGGUGUGCUGUUCUAUGUAGGUGGUCAAGGUGGAUCUGGUGACCCCUUUUGUAGUAUUGAAUGCUAUUCUGUCAACAAAAACAGUUGGUUCUUUAGACCAGAAAUGACUAGCUGAAGGCAGCAUGUGGGUGUGAUCUCUGAAAGGUAAAGUGUAUGCAGUGGGUGGACAUGAUGGGAAUGAGCAUUUAGGUAGCAUGGAGAUGUUUGAUCCUCUCACUAAUAAAUGGAUGAUGAAGGUGUCAAUGAACACCAAGAGGAGAGGAAUUGCUUUGGCCUCCUUAGGGGGCCCAAUAUAUGCAAUUGGAGGAUUAGAUGAUAAUACUUGCUUUAGUGAUGUGGAGAGAUACGACAUCGAAUCUGACCAGUGGAGUACAGUGGCACCAAUGAACACUCCCCGUGGAGGUGUUGGCUCUGUGGCUUUAGUGAACCAUGUUUACGCAGUGGGUGGCAAUGAUGGAGUGGCCUCCUUAUCCAUUGUGGAGAGGUACCAUCCACAUCUGGACAAGUGGAUAGAGGUCAAGGAAAUAGGUCAGCGCAGAGCAGGCAAUGGUGUUAGUGAACUUCACAGCUGCUUAUAUGUUGUUAGUGGUUUUGAUGAUAACUCCCCUCUGAGUUCAGUUGAACGGUACGACCCCCGAAGCAACAAGUGGGAUUAUGUGGUAGCAGUCACGACUCCCCGGGGAGGAGUAGGCAUCGCUACCGUGAUGGGCAAAAUCUUUGCAGUUGGCGGUCACAAUGGCAAUGCAUACCUAAACACAGUGGAGGCAUUUGAUCCAGUGCUGAAUAAGUGGAUCUGGUCGGACCUGUGUCCCACUGCCAAGCCAGUGCUGGUGUAGCCGUGUGUGACUGUUUAACUAGCCAGAUCUGUAGGUCACGGGUCCACUAAUGUGGUGGAGUGUAUGUGACGUGAAUCCCAGCAGCAACUGUGCAACCACACGGGAUGCUCGGGAAGACAGCCAGCAUUUGAUACGGCCCCCUCUGAUUUGAACGUCAGCUGUUGUGGUGUGGGUACACCUUGUGGACUGAUGGCUGGAGAAUGGUAGUCACAGAGUUGGGUUUCCUGCUCUAGCAAAUAAUGAAGCCGUCUAUCUUUGAACCCAUUCUUGUUCUGAAAGACGUUUCAUGUAGUGCCAAACCUUAAAAUAGCUGUUUAUUUUGAUGAAUAAAAUUUAAUUUAUUGA